rnacentral:lncRNA from 1 species
GAGAAGGCCCUAACGGAGGCUGGAAGCCGGUCACCAUCUGGAAGCCCGGCUGUGGCGAUGUCCUUCCUCUCCUUAGCCCUGGGGUCAUGUGACUUACCAGCUUGCCCAUUCGGGACCACUCUUGGUGCUUCCUCAGCCACACCUGCCACACCCAGUAGAACUCCCUAGAAGAGAGGACCACCAGGGAAAUGAGAGCUGGUUCCACACCACAACCACUGGCAUUGCUACCGAGCCCCAGGGCUCACCCUCCCUCAGAGGGAAUCAAUGCACCUUUCACUCGUUCCUGGCUUUACCAGUUAUUACUCAUGAAAAACCUCCUUUGUUAAACCAACCUGUCAUCUCCAGACUGUUUGAACCCAAAACCCUCUCACUUCCUUGCCUCCCAAGCACUUUGGCUGUGCUUUUUGGAACAUCAUAGUCUUACGGCCUUACUUUCUCACCUUUCUCAGUCUCCCUGCCUUCGCUGAGCCCGGGCUGUUUUCAGAGGGCCCUACGCUUCCCAUGACACUCACAGGUGGAGGCGCUGCUUCUUCGACCCUUCAUGGAAGUGGCCUGAGUAAUAAACCAAGAGACAACAACAGUACAAGGACAAUGAAAACCAGUUCCAUGUUUAAGGAUGCUUGGGGGAAAACCGGGUUAAACAAAGCUCUGACGCUGUCUCAUGAAUGAACCUUUGUCCUUCUCUGGCUGUUGUUUGGUGUGGACACUUGCAGCAUGGAGCUUUGUAACCAGAUAGAGAAAGUUUAGUGAUCAUGAAGAUUACCGCUAAUCGACAGGCUAGAGUCUGACAACACUGACAGAGAACAAAAGACAGCAUAGCUGUUGUGGUUUCUAGUUGGGAGAACACAAUACAAAAUUGUAGC